rnacentral:lncRNA from 1 species
AUAGUAUUUUGUCUUUUGAUUCAGAUGGCAGUGCUAACACGAGACUAGUGUGAGCUGCCGAUUUACCAAAAAAAAAGGCGUGGCUUGAAAAAAAUUCAUCAAGUCGGUGCAUCUCCUGCAGCGGGUGUUAGGCCCAGCCUCAUUGAGCCAGCCUGUUGGCUCGGCCCAGCUUUUGAACGCGGUCUGAAGGCCUGUCCGGACGAGAACCAGAGCAGAGCCCUGAUUGAGCACGGCAGAGAAGGACGAGUCCUCCUCUUCCUC